UCUUCUCUGACUUUUGGUGUCCUCAACUCUGAAGUCAUGCGUCAGAGGGUGGAGUAGUUUAGGGAAGUGGGUGCAAUAAGCUUCAAGGACACUUCUCACUGUUCCUUUUUUGGAUUCUAUGAAUCCUAAUACAAGUGACCAAAAAAAAAAAAAAAAAAACUGUUUAAAGAAGAAUCCCUGAAAAUCAGCAUGCUGUAAGAUUUGAUUUCUCAGAAAUGAUCAGGAAGGGAGAAUGUGGGACGCCUCAAGGUGGUGUGUGUGUGUGUUCUUCUUCUUCUUUUUUUUUUUUUUUUCCGUUUUUUACACUCCAGUGAAUCAAUCUUUGCAGAGAGUAUGAAAUGAAAAUCUGGCACCUUGCAGUAAAAUUAGAGCUGGCAUCGCUGUCCUAAAAAAAUAAAAAAAGACAAAAAGGCAGCCUCAGAAAAAUUAUGACCAGCUGCCUGCUGGAUUCACCCUGCCGAGGAGGCGCCUUGUGACACAGUUUACAACCCCGAGGAUUAUGGCAGUCUCGAUGCUAUCAUCUUAAUUGCAGGAGCAGGGUUGCAGCCAGCGGGCCCCCCCAAGCCCCCAUGCUCUGGCCCACAUGACAUUCCUGGCUCUCAGUUUGACAAAUUCUUUUCUCUCACUCUACCUGCUCCAAAUUACUUUGUGGAGGCUGCAGGCUUCUAGGCUACUACUGGUUGUUUUUGUUUUUGUUUUUUUCUUCAUUCCUAAGUGAGGUGGUAGAAACCCAAAGUGAUGGAAGGAUUGAGGUGGGCGAUGGGAGUUGGUGGCGGGGAGAGGGCAACUCAUUCUUUUGCUGCUCAGAGUGUACACCCCAGAGACCAGCAGGAGAGAGCUGGAGAGGUUGUGUUUCUGGGCUCAGAGCUGGUGAAACAUAGGAUGGUGCCUGAAUGUUUAGGGAUCAUUGGCAACAUGAGGAUUUGGACCUCAGCCUCCAGACCAAGGAAGCCCCCAGCAUCUCAGGAGCCCAGUAUCCUUGGGCUGGAAGGGAUGAAGGAGUGCUUCUAGCCCAAGUGCUUCUGACACCACUGGGCCCAUGUGCUGGGUGUGGUGUACACUCCUAGAGAUAAUGCUUGGAGUGGAACUAAGGAGAGGAGAAUGCCUGGAGCUCUGGUAUUGAUACCUAACUUCUAAGCCUGAGCCUCACCUCCACACCCUACUUGAGAGACUUACCUUCCCUCUCUGGGUCUCAGUUCCUCAUGUGUAAAAUUUAGAUUUGGGAUUUGACCUGGGGUUGCAAACUAGUGGCCCUGAGAUUUAUCCUGCAGACAUUGUUUUGCUUGGUCUGAAUCAUGUUUUAAACCAGGAAACUUUAUUUUUUUUUAAAUUUUUUAUUCUUUAUUUUUAAUUUAAAAAAUUUUAUUAAGCAGGAAAUUUUAUAUUUAAAAAAAAUCCAGAAUUUUGACUUCUCUUAAAAAAUCUGAAGACUUAGGUAAAAAGGUUCCUUUCUUAUGUGGCAAAAAGGGGUUAGACCUAGAAAUUGACAGGCUGAUUAUAAAUUCAUCUGAGUCAAGAGAUCUAAAACAGCCAAAUCAAUCUUGAAGAACAAAGUCACAGGACACACACUUCCUGAUUUCAAAAGUACUAUGAAAACUAUAGUAAUCAAAACAGUGUGGCAGUGGCACAUGGAUAGACAGAGAUCAAUAGGAUAGAACUACAUGUCCAGAAAUAAAUUCUCAUGUCACAGUACCAUUUUCAACUAGGGUAUUAAGACAUUAAGAUAGGGAAAGAGUAGUCUUUUCAACAAAUGGUGAUGGAACAACUGGAUAUCCGCAUGCAAAUGAAUGAAUUUAGACCCCUACCUCACAUUGCAUACAAAAAAAUAAGUAAAAAUAGAUCAAAGACCAAAAUCUAAGAGCUAAAACUGUAAAACUCUCAGAAAAAAAAGUAAGUAUAAAAUAUGACUUUGGAUUUGGCAUUGGUUUCUUAGAUAUGACAUCAAAAACAUGUGACCCCUCCCCCCAAUUAAAUAAAUUGUAUCUAAUGAAAAUUAAAAACUGUUGUGCUGCAAAUUAUACCAUCAAGAAUGUGAAAAGACAACUUACAAAAUGGGAAACAUACUUGCGGCUCAUAUAUCUGAUAAGGGACUUGUAUUCUGAAUAUAUAAACAAGUCUAACAACUCAAUAAUAAGAUAAAACAAUUUUAUUUUAUUUUAUUUUUUAUUUAUUUUAAAUAAUAUUUAUAUAUAUAUUUUUAAUUUUUUUCCCACUGUACAGCAAGGGGAUCAAGUUAUCCUUACAUGUAUACAUUUUUUUUCCCAUCCUUUGUUCUGUUGCAAUAUGAGUAUCUAGACAUAGUUCUCAAUGCUACUCAUCAGGAUCUCCUUGUAAAUCUAUUCUAAGUUGUGUCUGAUAAGCCCAAACUCCCGAUCCCUCCCACUCCUUCCCUCUCCCAUUGGGCAGCCACAAGUCCAAGAUUUUCUUUUCUGUGGAGAUGUUCAUUUGUGCUGGAUAUUAGAUUCCAGUUAUAAGUGAUAUCCUAUGGUAUUUGUCUUUGUUUUUCUGACUCAUUGCACUCAGUAUUAGAUUCUCUAGUUCCAUUCAUGUUGCUGCAGAUGGCAUUAUGUCAUUCUUUUUUAUGGCUGAGUAGUAUUCCAUUGUGUAUAUAUACCACCUCUUCCGAAUCCAAUCAUCUGUCGAUGGACAUUUGGGUUGUUUCCAUGUCCUGGCUAUUGUGAAUAGUGCUGCAAUGAACAUGCGGGUGCAUGUGUCUCUUUUAAGUAGAGUUUUGUCCGGAUAGAUGCCAAAGAGUGGGAUUGCGGGGUCAUAUGGAAGUUCUAUGUAUAGAUUUCUAAGGUAUCUCCAAACUGUUCUCCAUAGUGGCUGUACCAGUUUACAUUCCCACCAACAGUGCAGGAGGGUUCCCUUUUCUCCACAACCCCUCUAGCACUUGUUAUUUGUGGACUUAUGAAUGAUGGCCAUUCUGACUGGUGUGAGGUGGUAUCUCAUGGUGGUUUUGAUUUGCAUUUCUCUUAUAAUCAGCGAUGUUGAGCAUUUUUUCAUGUGUUUGUGGCCAUCUGUAUAUCUUCCUUGGAGAAGAGUCUAUUGAGGUCUUUUUCCCAUUUUUCCAUUGGUCGAUUGGCUUUUUUGCUGUUGAGUUGUAUAAGUUGCUUAUAUAUUCUAGAGAUUAAGCCCUUGUCCGUUGCAUCAUUUAAAACUAUUUUCUCCCAUUCUGUAAGUUAUCUUUUUGUUUUCUUUUUGGUUUCCUUUGCUGUGCCAAAGCUUUUCAGUUUGAUUAGGUCCCAUUGGUUUAUUUUCGCUCUUAUUUCUAUUGCUUUGGGAGACUGAUCUGAGAAAAUAUUCAUGAUGUUGAUGUCAGAGAGUGUUUUGCAGAUAACACAAUUUUAAACUGAGCAAAGAAUCUAGAUGGACAUUUCUCCAAAGAAGAUAUAUGAAUGGCCAAUAAACACAUGAAGGUGUUCAACAUUUUUAGUCAUUAGGGAAAUUCAAAUCAAAAUCCUAAUGAGAUAUGAUUUCACACCCACUAGGAUAUCUGCCAUCAAAAAGACAGAUAAAAUAACAAGUGUUGAGGAGUUCCUGCUAUUGUGCAAUGGGAUCAGUGGCAUGUGCUGUGGCAGAGUAGGUCAUGACUGUGACCAGAUCUGAUCCUUGGCUCAGGAAUUCCACAUGUCAUGGGGCAGCCAAAAAAGAAAAAAAGAAAAAAA
ensembl:lncRNA